rnacentral:rRNA from 1 species
AACGAACGCUGGCGGCAGGCUUAACACAUGCAAGUCGAACGGUUGUAGCAAUACAGCAGUGGCAGACGGGUGAGUAACACGUGGGAACCUUCCUAGGGGUACGGAACAACUCAGGGAAACUUGAGCUAAUACCGUAUACGUCCGUGAGGAGAAAGAUUUAUCGCCCUUAGACGGGCCCGCGUCGGAUUAGCUAGUUGGUGGGGUAACGGCCUACCAAGGCGACGAUCCGUAGCUGAUCUUAGAGGAUGAUCAGCCACACUGGGACUGAGACACGGCCCAGACUCCUACGGGAGGCAGCAGUGGGGAAUUUUGGACAAUGGGCGCAAGCCUGAUCCAGCCAUGCCGCGUGAGUGAAGAAGGUCUUCGGAUUGUAAAGCUCUUUUGCCAGGGACGAUAAUGACGGUACCUGGAGAAUAAGCCCCGGCAAACUUCGUGCCAGCAGCCGCAGUAAUAC